AGUGAACGCUGGCGGUAGGCCUAACACAUGCAAGUCGAACGGCAGCACAGGAGAGCUUGCUCUCUAGGUGGCGAGUGGCGGACGGGUGAGGAAUACAUCGGAAUCUGCCCAGUCGUGGGGGAUAACGUAGGGAAACUUACGCUAAUACCGCAUACGACCUUCGGGUGAAAGAGGGGGAUCGCAAGACCUCUCUCGAUUGGAUGAGCCGAUGUCGGUUUAGCUAGUUAGCGGGGUAAUGGCCCACCAAGGCGACGAUCCGUAGCUGGUCUGAGAGGAUGAUCAGCCACACUGGAACUGAGACACGGUCCAGACUCCUACGGGAGGCAGCAGUGGGGAAUAUUGGACAAUGGGCGCAAGCCUGAUCCAGCCAUACCGCGUGGGUGAAGAAGGCCUUCGGGUUGUAAAGCCCUUUUGUUGGGAAAGAAAUCUUUCAGGCUAAUACCCUGGGAGGAUGACGGUACCCAAAGAAUAAGCACCGGCUAACUUCGUG
rnacentral:rRNA from 1 species